GCCUUCGUGGUGUAAUGGUCAGCACACUGAGCCGGUAUUUCAGAGGUCCGUGGUUUUUCCCGGCGAAGGCC
rnacentral:tRNA from 1 species